rnacentral:rRNA from 1 species
AACGCGUAUGCAAUCUACCUUUUACAGAGGGAUAGCCCAGAGAAAUUUGGAUUAAUACCUCAUAGUAUUACGACCUGGCAUCAGGAUGUAAUUAAAGUUCCAACGGUAAAAGAUGAGCAUGCGUCCCAUUAGCUAGUUGGUGUGGUAACGGCACACCAAGGCAACGAUGGGUAGGGGUCCUGAGAGGGAGAUCCCCCACACUGGUACUGAGACACGGACCAGACUCCUACGGGAGGCAGCAGUGAGGAAUAUUGGACAAUGGGCGCAAGCCUGAUCCAGCCAUGCCGCGUGCAGGAAGACGGUCCUAUGGAUUGUAAACUGCUUUUAUACGGGAAGAAACACCCCUACGUGUAGGGACUUGACGGUACCGUAAGAAUAAGGAUCGGCUAACUCCGUGCCAGCAGCCGCGGUAAUACGGAGGAUCCAAGCGUUAUCCGGAAUCAUUGGGUUUAAGGGUCCGUAGGCGGUUUGGUAAGUCAGUGGUGAAAGCCCAUCGCUCAACGAUGGAACGGCCAUUGAUACUGCCAGACUUGAAUUACUGGGAAGUAACUAGAAUAUGUAGUGUAGCGGUGAAAUGCUUAGAUAUUACAUGG